rnacentral:rRNA from 1 species
UACGUAGGGUGCGAGCGUUGUCCGGAAUUAUUGGGCGUAAAGGGCUCGUAGGCGGUCUGUUGCGUCGGGAGUGAAAACUCGGGGCUUAACCCCGGGCCUGCAGUGGGUACGGGCAGACUAGAGUGCGGUAGGGGAGACUGGAAUUCCUGGUGUAGCGGUGAAAUGCGUAGAUAUCAGGAGGAACACCUGUGGUGUAGACAGCUUACUGGACCAUAACUGACGCUGAGGCACGAAAGCGUGGGUAGCAAACAGG